rnacentral:lncRNA from 1 species
UUUCGUUCUCUGGCUUUUAUAGCCAGAGAACAAUCCGUUUCUUCCAACCAUUGAUUGCAGGUGUAAUGGCAGUGAUGGCAGCGGCGGGCGUCCGUUGAAGAAGAUGAACAGCGUAUCCACAGACGGCACCGUUUUGAAGUUUAACGAUUAUUUUCGUUUUGGCCCUUGAAGUUUUAAAGGAUUUGUAAUUAAGCCCCUAGUUCAAACUGUAAUUGCCCCCCUGCAUUUGCGCGCAAUGUUCAAUGUAGUCCUUGGAUUUUAA